rnacentral:misc_RNA from 1 species
GAUGAAGAACGUAGCGAAAUGCGAUACGUAAUGUGAAUUGCAGAAUUCAGUGAAUCAUCGAGUCUUUGAACGCACAUUGCGCCCCCUGGUAUUCCGGGGGGCAUGCCUGUCCGAGCGUCAUUGCUGCCCUCAAGCACGGCUUGUGUGUUGGGUCUCGUCCCCCUUCCCGGGGGACGGGCCCGAAAGGCAGCGGCGGCACCGCGUCCGGUCCUCGAGCGUAUGGGGCUUUGUCACCCGCUCUGUAGGCCCGGCCGGCGCUUGCCGAUCAACCAAAACUUUUUUCCAGGUUGACCUCGGAUCAGGUAGGGAUACCCGCUGAACUUAAGCAUAUCAAUAAGCGGAGGA